rnacentral:lncRNA from 1 species
UCAAAGUUAGGAUUGAUAAUUUCAACUGGAAAAUAUUACAUAUUAUUCGUUAGAUAAAUUGGCUAGACACAAAAAUAAAAUAAAAUAUACAAUAAAAAACUUAAGUUUAAUUCUUUUGUAAUAUAUAAACCUUACACAACCAUAAAAUAAAAUAUACAAUAAAAAUUUUAAGUUUAACUAGAUAAGAAACUAGAUAAGAAGCCCCGCUUCGCGGAGGUUGGAUUCGACGCUAAUAUUAAAGAAAACCGAUGGAAGACAUUAUGUAGUAAAGUAGAAGCAAACUGAGAUAUAUUCUCUUUUUAAAACACAUAUGUUGGGUACAAAACUACUUAAACCAAAUUUAGUCAAAGGCAACACCAAUCCAACUGCUUCCGCUCGAAUAAGCUCUUGCGGCUUUGAGAUCCCUUAAGUGAUGAUUUUGUAAAAAUUUACAAAUAGAAAAAUUAUAAAUGGGUUUCAAAUACUUAUUAUUUUUUAGGACUGACCAAAAUGCCCUUUGCUAAAAAUAAUACAUAAUGAUAACAAAGUUUUGAUUAAAUUGUAUAUACUUAACCUCUCCCACAAGAUCAUCUUCAGAACGAUCCGAGAAAUUAAAAAUGAAGGUUAUGCCCCUGAAAUGUUUUGAAUAAAAAUCAUUGGCAUCAAUAAGCAAUUUUAUGAAUUAAAUAUUGAUACCAAAUAUAAUGGUAACUAAACUGAAAUCAGGCAAAAUGGCAAGCAGUUUUGUUAAUUCAAGUUGAAAGUUGGAUAAAUAAGAUAACAAACUUUCAAAUUGAUAAACAGAAAAAAAAAAACAGCAGAUUUGAGAAAUUAAAAUGACAGUUAUGCCCCUUUAAUGUGUUGAAUAAAAAUCAUUGGCAUCAAUAAGCAAUUUUCUGAAUUAAAACUGAUAGUUGGAUAAAUAAGAUAACAAACUUUCAAAUUGAUAAACAGAAAAAAAAAAAAAACCAGCAGAUUUGAGAAAUUAAAAUGACGGUUAUGCCCCUUUAAUGUGUUGAAUAAAAAUCAUUGGCAUCAAUGAAGUUACAGGUUAGAAUUUCCGCUAAAAAUACAUAACAUUCAAUCAGAUUAACAAUGCUUGAAUAAAUCCGAAUUGAAAGAGAAGCACAAUUACACCAUAAAUAGUUUUAUAGCAAUGCACUAUAAACAUGCAAAAGAGGUGAGAAAAUUUAAGCAUACCUAAUUGCAGAAUGUAAGCCAACUUCGCUGUGAUUUUUCUUGUGCUCCUGCUGCUCUUCAUUAUAUGUGAGUGAAAGGAUGAAGGGAAUUGUGAAGUAAUNNN